CGCUGUCACAUUUGCCCGCGUAGGCUUUAUCUUAUACCCAAAGCAAAAGGCAAAGAACAAAAUUAAUUCCCCAUAAGCUUCACGAAGAAGCCAGCAAGAGAGAGAGGGGAGGAGAGAAGGGGGUUCAAUGGCCUCCGUCACAGAUUCCUUUCCGGUAAACUUGUCGGCCUUUGGGGUUUAUUCUUUUGUAGCUUUCUUUUUUAUGAGAAAAGCAAAAGGGUUGGUGGUGCGAGGGUGGUGGGAUGGUAUGGCAGCCGAACCCGAACGCGAACGCGAACGCGGAUUACGAAAAAAGCGUGUGGAGAGGAGGACGGCGACUCUGCAGGUCCCGAGAUCACGUGCUCCGCUACGGGAGGAACGGCGAUUAUCCGGGUCCGAGCAGACCGAUAGAGAGAUAGAGAGAUAAUAAAGAGAGAGAGAGAGAGAGAUCCCCUUUUCGUCGCUGUGUCAGAGAGGGUUGGAAAGGGAAGAGGAAGAGGAAGAGGAAGGAGGUGGGGACUGUGGGGGACGGCGCUCGCUGGCACAGUUCGCCCUCCCUUGUGUCAGGUUUGGUUUCGCUUUAUUUCUUUUUCUCUUUGUAUUUUUUAAUACCUACGGUUUAGUUCUCAAUUAUUGGAGUGCUUUAGGAUAAAUUAAUAUGAUAAAGUCAAAAAAAAAAAAUCCAAAUUAUGUACACGGUAACAUAUUUAUCUAUAGGCAUCGAAAAAUCAUAAGUUAUGCUCGAUACAUUUACCCUAAUUUUCUUUUGUAACAUAAAAAAUCCUAAACUUAAUAUUCAUUUAACAUACUUUUUUUUUUUUUUUGGAAUUUAACAUCUGCUAAAAAAAUUUCAAAUAAUUUUUUUUUCACUUCUUCUCGAGGUCCAAAUAGGGAGAUUUUAAUAAUUCUUCCUGACAGAACUUUUACAAGUGCGCAAGUUUGGAAUUUUUGUGUCACAAAACAAAAUUUAAGAUGAAUAUAUAUCAUAUUGAGUAGAGUUUGGGAUUUUUAAUGGCUUUUAUCCUUAGUUUAAAUUGCAGUAGCAUCUGCCGCUAUGAUUGCUCUUUCCUUAACGUUCUUUUGUUUUGAAUUCGUGCUAUUAUCUGUCAAUUAUCGUUCACGCUUAAUUAUUGGUUCCGAGGAAUUGAAAAUUCGUGCCUGAUAAUUGGUUGCAGCAACUGGGAAUGCGAACCGGCGACCUUCUUUUUUCAUCUUUUAAAUUUUUUAAUGAAAUUAUAUCUAUUUUACUUUAUCUCUUUGGCGCUUUCUCGACAGCCCGUGUCAUAAGACACUGAUUCUUUUACAAGAAUGGUUUUUGCCAAUUGGAUGUGAUUCAAUUAUGGGAUGGGAGGGAGAACUGUCAGGCAUUAGUUGACAGGCUCAAAGAAGUUGCAUCUUUGAUUAAUUUAAUGCAGAUAUAUUCCACCUCUCUCUCUCUAUAUAUAUAAUAUUUAUUUAGUUAUUUAUUUUGGUAGAAAAAUUCCACCUUUAUAUUAGUCGACGUCGUAUCUAUUGUUUCGAAAUGAACUUGCCCCACUAAUCCCCCCACUUCAUCACAAAAACGAGAUUUCAAGAGGUACUUGAAUGUUUAAGGAUCCCCACUCAACGUUUUCUCUAAUCAUUCCCUUAACGUAACUCUUAAGCUGCAUGAAGGAUAUGGAGAGUUCUCGACAUAAAUUAUUAGAAAGAAAAGGACACCUUUUGCGUAAAAUAUGGAUUGUUUAGCAUCGCAUGUCUAAACGGGCUUUUUUGCAUUUCCGGACAAGGGUCUCUACAAAUCCCCAUGUCUGAAGAAACCGCAAUUUGUAGCUGUUGUAAGGGAAGGAAGAUAUGAGAGCAGAGUCCGAAGAAGCUCGAAGAAAGCAUGCGAAGCCGUUCGUGGUAAUAAAAACAUUAAGGACGCCAUCAGUUCUCGGUGGUUGACAGCGUUUGGUGCAGUGGUCCUCGCAGUUUCGUGUGGACGGGUGACAUUGUCGACAUAUGUGAUGGGGGCAUCUCGUCUUCCGCGGUGCACAUCUUCAUUCACUUCCCCUUCCCAUCAUCUCAUUAAGGCCGACGGAGGAUAACAAGGAGUGAUAAUGUCAUAUCGCCACCUUAUGCGGUUGGGUUUAGGUCGAUCAUCAAAUUUGAGAGCCGCCUCUACGGGUGCGAGGCAGAGAUCGCGAAGCAGCCAUCACCACCAUGUAAUUAUCGCCUCAGGAGGGCAGGUACCUCGAGAUUACGGCCGUCCACCCUCCAAUUUCAGAUUGGAGAACCACAUGGAUUGAGAUGCGUGCGCGCGAAAGAGAGAGAGGGGGGAUGGUCCCCGGGCAUGCCACCGUCUCUCGGUGGUCGCGGGAUCGGCGGGGCGUCUCCGUUUGACAAGAUCAGUUUUUAAAUUCGUUUUGGGCAUUUUUCUACUUUCUCGUGCAACAUUAGUGGGAGACAACUUUUCAAAAGAUGCACGAGGGAUUUUGCUAUUUUGCUUCUCUCGUUAUACCUGAAUUCAUGUGGGUUUGGUUAAGGGGUGGUGGGCUUCCACGGAAUGCACCGCUGGCCGCACAUUAAUUUCGAUCUGUAUUAACAUUCCUUCGGUUCGUUGGCAUUUGGCAAUGGGGCUAAUGAAAGGGCCUUUUCUAUAUCAGAA